GCCUCCCUAGCUCAGUGGUAGAGCAUCCGCCUUGUAAGCGGAAGGUCGUCAGUUCAAUCCUGACGGGGGGCUCCA
rnacentral:tRNA from 16 species